UUCAGAGACAAAAGGUGUUUUUAAAGGUCGUUCUGUUAGUCCUUUCACUCAAUCUUUCAUAAUAUCCAUCAACAGAGAAAAAAAGAUCACAACGGACUAAAGUAUCUGAUGAGAAGAGAUGUUUCACGAAGCCCCCCUUCUCCUGAAGCUAUUGCAAAUGAGCCAUUAUGUGCAAGCUCUCAAGGAAUAGCUCUCAGCUCAGGCUCCAUUUCUGAAAAAGAAGAGGCAAAAGAAAGCUCUCCUAGUGCCGUUCACCUCCUCAGGCCGACUUCAUAUCGGGGGCAGAACUUCAGAAGGAGAAGCGUCCAGCUUAAAUUGAAGCUUCGUGGAGAUUUCUGCUUGUGGCCGUUUGAAAGUUCUUGACCAUGAAUUUUCUGGAAUGAGCACAUGGGGAAU
rnacentral:lncRNA from 1 species